GGGAGGCACUGGCGGUUCGGCAAAAAAUGGGACACCGUAAGGAUGGAAACGGAGGAGGCAACAGUCGCGGCGUCCU
rnacentral:SRP_RNA from 17 species